rnacentral:tRNA from 1 species
UCCCUCGAGCCGGAUUUGAACCAGCGACCUAAGGAUCUCUGCUAACUGAGCUAUCGAGGG